rnacentral:piRNA from 1 species
UCCCACUGCUUCUGUUGAUCGGCCAUAGG